CGGGGGACGCGCUUGCGCGUCCCGCCGGCGACCGGCGCACGGGUGAGUAACACGUAUGCAACCUGCCCCCGCCAGGGGUACAACCCUCCGAAAGGGGGCUGAUACCGCGUACAUCCCCUGGGGGCAUCCCCGGGGGAGGAAAGCCCUUUUGGGCGGGCGGGGAUGGGCAUGCGGCGCAUUAGGAAGACGGCGGUGUGACGGACCACCGUUCCGACGAUGCGUAGGGGUUCUGAGAGGAAGGCCCCCCACACUGGUACUGAGACACGGACCAGACUCCUACGGGAGGCAGCAG
rnacentral:rRNA from 1 species